GUAGGAGGCAGGGAGAAUCAUGAGGACUGGGGGAAGAAGAGGGGAGCACAGUAGUGGCAGAAGGUAAAGCCAAUUCGCCAUGUGAGUUUUGGCUGAGUGGCCACUGGCCACCUCCCUGACUGGGCCUGGGGUAGCAGGAGGAGGUUUAGGAGUACCAAGCCUUUGAAGUAGUCAAAGCAUUUUAAAAUUAACGGAUACUUGCCCCGUGUGUGUGUGUGUGUGUGUGUGUGUGUGUGUGUGUGUGUGUGUGUGUGUGUGUAUUUUCUGUUCAGGGAUCCAAAAUAUCUCCUGUGUGGGUGCACGUGUGCAAUUUGCUGGGAGCACAAAUCGGUGUAGCCAAAAACUCUUCCACAGCCUCCAAGAUGAGAUAUUUUGUAUUGUUUAUUUUAUUUAGUUUCCUUCCUUUGGCAGGUUGCAAGGGUGGAGGGUAGAUAUGACUGGAAGGGGAGAGGAGCAGAUUGAGGUACAUGGUCUGAAAUUCACAAAGAAUCGAUAAAAAGUUAAACAAACAAACAAACAAACAAAAAAGCACUCAUGCUUAGUGUGGAAAUCCGACCCAGGCACUUAAAGAUAGCAGGGAGUCUAUCUUUUAUGGCUUUUAUUCUUGGCUAUCGGUUAAACCACUCAUCAAAGAGGAAGUUCAGUCCACUGUCCCGUUGGAAGAAUUCAUCAUCAUCACUAUAUCACCAUCAUCAUCAUCACCAUCACCACCAUCAUCAUCACUGUCAUCACCAUCAUCAUCAUCACCAUUGUGAUGGUGGUGGUAUGAGAAUUCCACAAGAGAAGACUGACAAACCAGUAGAGUCAGUCUCUUCAUACUAGAGCUUCUUUUUCAGGACCACCACCCAUACCUGGCUACCAGGCCAGGUUAGAUUUAUGAGAGCUAAGAUCUAUAAGAGGUUAAAAAGCUAAAAACUACAUUUCCAGUACUACCUUACAACAGGAGCUCUGGGUAUGAAAUCGAUUACUUUUUGUCUUCUUGAAUCAGAUGUUCUUGUACCAAGUCAUACUAGAUGGGAGGGAGGUGGAAGCCAUUUUUUCUGCUUCAUUCUUUUCUCCCUUGCUGGCAAGAAAAAUGGAAACCAGUGAUGUUGGGCAUGUGCAUUGUGCCUCUUAACCUCCAGCUUCCAGAGGAUCAAGGUCAUGUGAAAGUCACGUCUCAACACCUGGAUUCCAGUGUCCACUCCAGCUUCCAAAGGAUCAGGGUCAGCUCUUUGAACUCUACUUCCAGAUUCUCAGGGCCAAGCAACACAGGCGACUUAGUGUUUACACCUCUUGUGGCAGCCUGGGAGGAAGGUCACAUUGCCAAUCAGAUGCCUUGUGAGCCCUUCUGUGGAUCUUGUUAACUGAAAUUCCCUGAAUGAAAUCUCUGCUUGCUCAAA